AAAAUGUAUAACUUAAAUAUUUUAAUUUUAAACAAAUAUGAUACUGUACUGUAUUGCCGAAUCUAUAUAUUAUGGUGCCAGUAUAGCAAGCGACACAAAAUUAGCUAAAUUGAUAACAUAUAAAAAAACACUAACUGUUUACCUAUAUCAAGUAAAAAACAUUUGGAUUCAAAAUACAAUAUAAAAUAUAAACAUACAUGAUUUAAAAGGAUCUAGAUGUCACUGUUAAAGAAUACAACACAACCUUGUACUGUAAUAAGCUUCCAAACCAAUAAAAACAAUUGAUUAAAAAUUCUAAAAAAAAAUGUUGGAUUCAAAUACCAAAGUAUACUGAAGCAUGUAAUAUACUAGUAAUUGAACAAAUUGUCUUCAUUAAAUGUUUAUGAAGUGCAGUUCUUAGCCCUAAUACUAAACUCAAUAAAUGUGUUGUAAUGGACAUUAAUGUUAUGGAAUACCUAUAAAUACCAACAUGUUCCUACACAUCUCAAAUAAAAAGCAAAAUGGCUGUUUCCCUGUUAUUGUACAAAGUCCUCCCGGCCGACGAAAAUUCUUCAACCAGCCAAACAUGACUCGGAUACUCAAUGCAUUUUGUCCGAGACCGCUGACCAGCUCCAUCAAGUCUCAACCCGAGGAAGCAUACCACACCGGCACCUCGUUUUCGACCGUUUUUUUCAUCGUAUCCAAUAUAUUUUGAUGCCAUCGUAUAGUACAACCAUAAUUACCUGAACAACAACAAUAAGUGCCCUGGCGGGCGUAGCAGCGACAAACGACAAUCCAUUGGAUACAACUCAAUUCACCUGUUGUCAAGUAUACUCUCCCGUAUACCUUCCCAUUUUUUGCAACGCGGUCCGUUGUAUUCAAACAAAUAUUAAAAUAUUUUUUCUUACAGAAAACUAUACAAAUUUAAUGAAUCAUAUUUUGCGCAAUGCACGAGUAUCCAGUGGAACCUAAACGCAAAAAUACCAUAAUAUUAGCUGUCAUGUUAAAAUAUAUCCAGAUUUAUCCUCAUAAUCCCCAAAUUGUAUUAUAUACAAAUGUAUUUGCCAUGUUGCCCCCAAUUAUCAUAUUCCCAUGACUGAUAUUUUAUAUUAUUAUUAUCCCCCCCCCCCAAAAAAAAAAACCUAUUAUAUUAUUUGUUGUUUUGAUGCCAUGUAAAAUAAAACCACUUAAUUACCUUUAAGAAAACUCUUUUUAUUAUUAUUGGUGUCACCUAUUCUCAGAUAUAAUUAAUAUUAUUAAUUUCAAAUAAAGUCACUAUGCAGAAAAAAAAUAAAGUACUUUGUCUUAAAAAUUUCUUAUGUAAAUUGACCUGACAACUAAAUUAUGUUUCUUCAAUAUUCAAACAAUGUUAAAAUUUUAGUAAUAAUAUUAUAAAGAAUAUUAUAAUAACAUUUUUUAAAGAUUCAUUAAAAUUAUGAUAAAAUUAUCAUGGUAAAAAAAUUAUGUUUCUAUAAUGUUGUUUCAUAACAUUAUAAGCAAUAUAUAGCUUUUUAACAUUUCCACUUAAACAUUAAUGUUUUAGAUAUUUUAAUAAUGUACUAAUAUUCAGAAAACAUUUUCACAAGUACAAAGAAAUAUAAAAAUCAAAUAUUAUAUUUAAACAAUAAGCUGUAAGUUUAAUUAUAAUAUAUCAUUCUUGUUGAUUAAUUUUUAAUAUAAAUGAACACAAUUUAAUUAGGUUGUUUUGAAUUUUGAAUUUAUUUUUAAUGCGAAACGUCGCAUGUGUCAAGGCAGUUGUGUUAUGUUUAUAACAUAUUAUGUUUUUUCGGAAUAUUAUUGUACUUGAUGUUCGUUAUAAUUGGCAGUUGCAUCUGAACAAAUUGUUUAUAACUUUUAUUUAAUUUAAAUGUUUAAAUAUAUUAUUUGUUGUAGUAAACAAUAUGGUAUUAUAAUUUAUAUUUUAUAUUUAUUUUACACAGAUGACAUUUAAUUUAUAUUAGACAUUAUUUAUGUUAUACACAGAUAAAAUUAAAUUUAUAGUACCUACACAUUGUAAAUAAGUUACAUUCCUCCAUCAAGACUACAAUAUGCAAUUGGAGUUGAUUAAAUUGGUAAAUUUAGUACCAUUAUUGUGAUUUUCUUUAUUAGUAAUUUUUAAUUAAGGCACCCGGUGCUGGCUAUUUA